GAUGAACGCUAGCGGCAGGCCUAAUACAUGCAAGUCGAACGGGAUCCAGAUCAAAGCUUGCUUUGGUUUGGUGAGAGUGGCGCACGGGUGCGUAACGCGUGAGCAACCUACCCUUGUCAGGGGGAUAGCCCGGCGAAAGUCGGAUUAAUACCGCAUGACAUCAUUGAGAGGCAUCUUUCGAUGAUCAAAGAUUUAUCGGACAAGGAUGGGCUCGCGUGACAUUAGCUAGUUGGUAAGGUAACGGCUUACCAAGGCUACGAUGUCUAGGGGCUCUGAGAGGAGAAGCCCCCACACUGGUACUGAGACACGGACCAGACUCCUACGGGAGGCAGCAGUAAGGAAUAUUGGUCAAUGGACGGAAGUCUGAACCAGCCAUGCCGCGUGCAGGAAGACGGCCCUAUGGGUUGUAAACUGCUUUUAUACGGGAACAAACGUCGGUACGUGUACCGGUCUGAGUGUACCGUAAGAAUGAGGAUCGGCUAACUCCGUG
rnacentral:rRNA from 1 species